rnacentral:rRNA from 1 species
UACGUAGGUGGCAAGCGUUGUCCGGAUUUACUGGGCGUAAAGGAUGCGUAGGUGGAUAUUUAAGUGGGAUGUGAAAUACCCGGGCUCAACUCGGGUGCUGCAUUCCAAACUGGAUAUCUAGAGUGCAGGAGAGGUAAGUGGAAUUCCUAGUGUAGCGGUGAAAUGCGUAGAGAUUAGGAAGAACACCAGUGGCGAAGGCGACUUACUGGACUGUAACUGACACUGAGGCAUGAAAGCGUGGGGAGCAAACAGG